GACGAACGCUGGCGGCGUGCUUAACACAUGCAAGUCGAACGGAAAGGCCCUGCUUUUGUGGGGUGCUCGAGUGGCGAACGGGUGAGUAACACGUGAGUAACCUGCCCUUGACUUUGGGAUAACUUCAGGAAACUGGGGCUAAUACCGGAUAGGAGCUCCUGCUGCAUGGUGGGGGUUGGAAAGUUUCGGCGGUUGGGGAUGGACUCGCGGCUUAUCAGCUUGUUGGUGGGGUAGUGGCUUACCAAGGCCUUGACGGGUAGCCGGCCUGAGAGGGUGACCGGCCACAUUGGGACUGAGAUACGGCCCAGACUCCUACGGGAGGCAGCAGCGGGGAAUAUUGCACAAUGGGCGGAAGCCUGAUGCAGCAACGCCGCGUGCGGGAUGACGGCCUUCGGGUUGUAAACCGCUUUCGCCUGUGACGAAGCGUGAGUGACGGUAAUGGGUAAAGAAGCACCGGCUAACUACGUG
rnacentral:rRNA from 1 species